UUCAGGAGUAGUUUUAUGACCCUGGUUGUGGUUUGACCUUUCCUCUGUACCGUCAACCUAAAGAAACACUCAUUAGAACCCGAUUGAUCUCCUUUUUGAUCUUUGGAAAUGGUGUGAGGGAUGCCCGGACCAAGAUUAACUAUUUGGCAAGGUUUUCGGUGGAGUUUGUGGCAUUUCCAGGGGUAGUUUUAUGACCCUGGUGGUAGUUUGACCUUUGCUUUGUACAGUGAACCUAAAGAAACACUCAUUAGAACCCAAUUGAUCUCCUUUUUGGCCUUUGAAAUUGUUUGAUGUGAGGGAUGCCCGGAUCAACAUCACCUAUUUGGCAAGGCUUUCGUAGGAGUUUGUGGCAUUUCCAGGGGUAGUUUUAUGACCCUGGUGGUAGUUUGACCUUUGCUUUGUACAGUGAACCUAAAGAAACACUCAAUUAGAACCCAAUUGAUCUCCUUUUUGGCCUUUGAAAUUGUUUGAUGUGAGGGAUGCCCGGAUCAACAUCACCUAUUUGGCAAGGCUUUCGUAGGAGUUUGUGGCAUUUCCAGGGGUAGUUUUAUGACCCUGGCGGUAGUUUGACCUUUGCUUGACCUAAAGAAACACUCAUUAGAACCCAACUGAUCUCCUUUUUGGGCUUGAUAGAAUGGAUAGGGGUAUGGAGAGGGAGACGAAAAAGUGGGCAGUUACAAUGACGUAAGAAAUAUUUGAUAGGUGAUUAUAAACACUCGUAUUCUCAGGCACUUUGGGUUCUCACAACAGCUACCAAGGCCACAUAAGUUCUCGUGAGUGUUUUUCAUGUUCAUGGUUCAGAAGGCUUAUCAAACUACUGCCAAGCUCAUAAAAGUAUGCAUGGAAACACUAACACAACCUUUACUAAAGCCUGAUUCUUUAUGUAUUCUUUGGUUCUGGGUUCUAAUGAGUGUGUUUUCACGUUCAUGGUACAGAAGAAGCCUCGUCAAACUAUUAAUAAGCCCGUGGAAAUACUAACACAGCCUCCACCAAAGCCUUAUUCUUAACGUAUUCUGACGCUUUCGCCUCACUAAAACUAUUUCCCAAGGACACAAAGGAGGUGAGUCGGGUUGUCUGUUCUCAUGAGUGUGUUUUCACGUUCAUGGUACAGAAGAUGCCUUGACAAACCACCACCAGGCUCAUAACACUACCCAUGGAAACACUAACACGGCCUCUACCAAAGCAUAGCCAAAUGUGGAUGUGUGAGCCCCGAGAAAUGUUUUAAAAUAUUAACGUUAGAUAAUAGAUUUAGGGUAGAGAGGAAGCAUAUCAAGGAACCCCCAAAGACCCCUAAUAACAGACCGAUAAAGACAGAUAGAGAAAGAUGUGUACGUGGAAGAUGGAAGCGUCCUUAAAAAUUCGAUUCUGAAGAAAUAUGAAUCACUAAAAGAUUGAUAUUAACAUUAGAUGAUGUAUUAUGAAGAUUAUUAUAAAGAAGCAGCAAAGUCGGGCCACCUGAGUCAACAUUUAUUACGUUUAUUGAAGAAAGAUACACAACAUUAGUGACAAGUGUUCGAGUAUGGGUGGUCACGACGUCCUAGUAAAUCCGAGGGAUGGGAAACUAUUAGAGGAUAGAAAUUGCUUAAUGAGAGGCCACAGUAUAACAUUAGAGAUGGAUUUGAUGGUAGUAGAAGUGGUGGUGGUGGUAGUAGUAGUAGUAGUAGUAGUAGUAGUAGUUUGUAGCCGUUUCAACAUUUCUGACUGGCUGAGUGGGUAUUUAACUGCCUGACUGACUACCUGACUGAUCGACUUACUGAUUGACUGACUGACGGGUUCACUGGAAGGAUUGGUAAUCAACUGACAGACUGAAUUACUGGUUGAUUGACUGACUGACUGAACGGCUGACUGACUGACUGACUGACAAGCUGACGGGCUGACUAAUUAGCUCGACAGAUGGUUCGGAAACUGACUGACUGACUGACUGACUGAUUGAUUGACUGACUGACAGGUACGGUAUGGCAGGGAUGGGGUGGGACAGCCGGGAGAGAGAGAGAGAGAGAGAGA